rnacentral:lncRNA from 1 species
ACACACCCUGGACAGGAAACCAGUCAAAACGUGUUCCACAUGCAACAGAUGUCGGAUUAAGUCCUCAGUAAUUACAUACCAAGUGAAACUCUUUGCACUUUACAGACACAGUCGACACAGAUUAUUUCCCAUCUUGAUCUUAAAUUACUUUUUACUGAAAAUUAAGUUUGAAGACCAUCUGGUUAGAGCGCUCGUCCCUGCUGGAGGGCGUGCUGUUUGAUCCAGAUCCAGCAAAAAUACCCGUCGAAAGUGAAAGUAAAUGUAAAUGCUGUUUUUAUCCCUGCGCGGCCAGACAGUCACCGUGUAGUGGGCUAAACCGAGCCAGCCCGUGCUUGUGUUUUGUGUCGGAUCCUCGCGGGAAUCGCGAUCCGGUUCGCCUGCCUAUCCGCAGUGCUGCGGGUCCGGGAGAGGACACAGUGAUGGAGUCUGGUCGCCCACAGCGUCUGUUUCUGAUCGUCCUGUUUCUCCAGCAGCCCUCUGUCUCCAGACCAGGUACAGCUCCUCACCCUCACCCUCCCACUGACUCUCCAGGGCAGCGCGGUCCCGUUGCUUCAGGGUGAAAGUGCAACGCCAUACCGUUAUCUCAGCCUAGGGACUGUUGAAGCCGUGUCGUUAUCUCAGCGUAGAGACGGUCGACACCUUGUGUGAGAGUGAGAGUCUCGGAGUGAGUGUGUGACUGUGUGACAGUGAGGGUCUCAGUCAGUGUGUGUGGUUGUGUGAGAGUGAGAGUCUCAGAGUGAGUGACUGUGUGACAAUGAGUCUUAGAGAGUAUGGUUGUGUGACAGUGAGAGUCUCAGAGUGUGUGACAGUGUGAAAUUGUGUUUUUUCUCUCUCUGUAACGUGUGAGGGUGUCUGGGACAGGUGAUGUUGUGGGACAAUGUGAGUCUCAGUCUGUGUCUCAUUUCUCUCUCCAGAGACGUUUCAGGUUCUUGGUCCAGCUGAUCCUGUUGUCACUGUGGCUGGUGAAGACACUGUCCUGCCCUGUUACCUCUCACCCAGGAUCAGCGCUGAGGGACUGGAGAUCCGCUGGUUCAGGGAUGAACCCACU